UGCACUCAAAUUCUGUAAGUUGCUCUGGAUAAGAGCAUCUGCUAAAUGACCAAAU
rfam:Salmo salar isolate Sally breed double haploid chromosome ssa16, whole genome shotgun sequence.